rnacentral:rRNA from 1 species
UACGAAGGGGGCUAGCGUUGCUCGGAAUGACUGGGCGUAAAGGGCGCGUAGGCGGCUUGCACAGUCAGGCGUGAAAUUCCUGGGCUCAACCUGGGGACUGCGCUUGAGACGUGUGGGCUUGAGUGGGGAAGAGGGUCGUGGAAUUCCCAGUGUAGAGGUGAAAUUCGUAGAUAUCGGGAGGAACACCAGUGGCGAAGGCGGCGACCUGGACGGACACUGACGCUGAGACGCGAAAGCGUGGGGAGCAAACAGG